rnacentral:ribozyme from 1 species
GCUGUCAGGUUUUCGUUGAGGAAAGUUCGGGCAGGCCCCAGCCGGCGGCACACGAGGACGAAAUGUGCGUGGAGGUAGUCAGCGAUGGGGAUGAUGCUCCAGAAACGACACAUCCUGUGGCGGUCAACGCUUUCGAUAAGCUGA